UGUCUGUCUGUCUGUCUGUCUGUCUGUCUGUCUGUGUCUGUCAUUUGGAACUGAGAAAUGCAAAACAGUCCUUCUUCUCAAACAUCAUCGCCAAAAACAAUAAAAAUGCACGUGCCUUGUUUGCUACUGUCGAUAAGCUAACAAAUCCUUCUGUGUCAGUAGCCUCUGGACUUCUAUCCACCAGGGCCUGCAAUGAAUUUGCCUUUGUCUUUGCUGACAAAAUUCAGAAAUUUAGACAAGCAAUCGGUGCCUCCUUAUCAGAUUCCUCCAUCAAACAAAGUGUUCAGAAUUGCAGACUUUAAGAGUGUACUAUACUACAGGAUUGCAGUCUUACAGCAGGGGUGCUUUAAGGACUCAAAAAGUGCACGAGAUCCCUCAAGAACAUACCGAUUUUACUGAGGGACCACCCUUGGCGCUCAGACUAAAGUGUUUGAGUCCAUGAGGGCAGACAAUGCAAUUGGAACAAACGUCCUUUCAGGAAUCUGAUGUAUCAGAUUCUUUGGAGCGAGUGCAGGCAGCCAACUCGAGCUGCUAUGCUACAUUGACGUGUCAUUAAUGUACCACUCUCUGCAUCACCUAUCCAAAGCACUCCGAAAAUGCCCAGCUCUUCCUCUGCUCUACCGAUGCUGCUGCUGCCUCUUUACCCUGCAAAUAUAUCCCCACUGAUGCUGUUGCUUUGCUUUGUUUAGCACCCUCACCUCCCAGUCCUCUCCCCCAUGGGGAAGUAUCUGCUAUCAUCACACAGUAUAAUAGUGUAUUCAGAAGGGAGUGAUGAGGUCAGAGCUAAGAUGCUGAACACGAACUGUACUGCAGUGCUGUAUUCUCAAGUAAACACAUGUCCUACAUAAGAUGAUUGACUCAAGAACAUUGUCCUUAUUUGACCCUGUAAGUGGAAAAGGAGGUUUGUUUGUGUCUGCCACUCAGCCUUUGAUCAGUCACAGUGUGUGGGCAGUGUGCCAUGAAGUGUUUAGCUAAAUGACGUGAUGUCUUCUUUGUCCUUUGUUUUGUUUCAAAGUCGAAAUUUAAUUUGUUUCUUCUUUUGCCAAGGAAGGUCUACAGUGUAUUCUCCCAUUGGCAUUGAAUUAUUUUUAUAAGCUGGAGUUGGAGUCAGUUGUUUUUAACUCAUUAGACUUUUAAUAAUUUUGUGAAUCCUGAUUAAAUGAAAAAACUACUGUAUGUACUGUAGCUGGAUGUGGUAUCCAUUUUUUGGAUUUUACUACUGUACUAUGUCCCA